UCCUGGAUAGCUCAGUCGGUAGAGCAGAUGGCUGUUAACCAUCGGGCCGGGGGUUCAAGUCCCUCUCCAGGAGC
rnacentral:tRNA from 1 species